ACGGGAGGCUGCAGUGGGGAAUAUUGCACAAUGGGGGAAACCCCGAUGCAGCGACGCCGCGUGAAGGAAGAAGUAUCUCGGUAUGUAAACUUCUAUCAGCAGGGAAGAUAAUGACGGUACCUGACUAAGAAGCCCCGGCUAACUACGUGCCAGCAGCCGCAGUAAUACGUAGGGGGCAAGCGUUAUCCGGAUUUACUGGGUGUAAAGGGAGCGUAGACGGAGUGGCAAGUCUGGUGUGAAAGGCAAGGGCUCAACCUUUGGACUGCACUGGAAACUGUCAAUCUUGAGUGCCGGAGGGGUAAGCGGAAUUCCUAGUGUAGCGGUGAAAUGCGUAGAUAUUAGGAGGAACACCAGUGGCGAAGGCGGCUUACUGGACGGUAACUGACGUUGAGGCUCGAAAGCGUGGGGAGCAAACAGGAUUAGAUACCCUGGUA
rnacentral:rRNA from 1 species